GUGCUUGCUUUGGCAGCACAUACAGGAAAAUCGGAACAAUACAGAGAAGAUUCGCAUGGCCCCUGUGCAAGGAUGACAUACAAAUUCAUGAAAUAUAUAUAUAUAUA
ensembl:snRNA U6 U6 spliceosomal RNA